UCGGCAAUGGGCGCAAGCCUGACCGAGCGACGCCGCGUGUGGGAUGAAGGCCUUCGGGUUGUAAACCACUGUCAACGGGGAGGAAAUGCAGGGGGGUUAUCCCCUCUGUUUGACCUAUCUGUGGAGGAAGUACGGGCUAAGUUCGUGCCAGCAGCCGCGGUAAGACGAACCGUACGAACGUUAUUCGGAAUUACUGGGCUUAAAGGGUGCGUAGGCUGCGCGAAAAGUUGGGUGUGAAAGCCCUCGGCUCAACCGAGGAAUUGCGCUCAAAACUACCGUGCUGGAGGGAGACAGAGGUGAGCGGAACUCAGGGUGGAGCGAUGAAAUGCGUUGAUAUCCUGAGGAACACCGGUGGCGAAGGCGGCUCACUGGGUCUCUUCUGACGCUGAGGCACGAAAGCCAAGGUAGCAAACGGGAUUAGAUACCCCGGUAGUCUUGGCUGUAAACGAUGAGCACUUGAUUAAAGGGUCCUCCAUAGCCUUUCAGUCGUAGCGAAAGUGUUAAGUGCUCCGCCUGGGGAGUAUGGUCGCAAGGCUGAAACUCAAAGAA
rnacentral:rRNA from 1 species